CAGAGCCUAAGACCUUACUAAAUAUCUGUUGAAUGGCCGAAGGGACAGGAGAUGAAUCUAGAAGACACUCUGAACCAAGGAUGCUUGGCAUACAAUCUUAUGGGACAAUCUAGAGCACAAUUGAACAUCUGGACCCAGGUGCAAUAUAAAGAUGGAACCCCUGAACUAUCUUCAUUUACCAGCUAUAUGAGGUGAUCAGUGAAUUAACUGGUGAUUUUGAACUCUAAAGCUAAAUUGUCUUCCCUGGAACAAUGUCAGAAACCUCAAGAGAAGGAAUCAUAUCUAUGGAAAGAAUGCAGCUCUGGAAUUUAAAAAUUCCAAGAAGAGAGCUCACAAACAUAAAUAAAAAUAUGAACAAGUGGAAGAAAUCAAAUCCAUCAGUGCAUCAAAAUUAUGAAGCAAUUCAUUUGUUUAAUCUUACUAUGUAUGUAUUACUUGUCAGUAAGUACUGUGUACCAUGUAAAUAAUACAUAGUACUUACUAUAUACUAUGUAUUAUUUAUGCUGUUAGUAUGAUUGGAGUGGAACCUAACUGCUGAUUAGAAGACUCUGUGUGUGUGUGUGUGUGUGUGUGUGUGUGUGUGUGUGUGUGUGUGUUUGGAGAUAGGAUUGGGUGUCACAUUGAGUGGGGUAGUGAGCUGAAUAGUGCUCCUCCAAAUAUAUAUGUUAAGUCCUAACUCCCCAAUUACAUCAGAAUGUGACAAUAUUUGAAGACAGGACCUUUUAGGCAGUAAAGUACAAUGAACUUUAUGUAAGUUAAGUCCUAAUUCACUAUGACUGAUAUCCUUAUAAUAAGAGGAAACUAAACACAGAUACAUACAGAAAAAUGAUUAUGCAAACUCACAGAGAAGAUGGCCAUCACCAUCUACAAGCCAAGGAAAGAGGCUGUUUGGAGAGGUCAACCAAGGUAACUCCUUAAUCUCUAGGAUCUAGAAUGGUGACAAAAUAUAGUUCCAUUUAAGCCACCCAGUCUUGUGGUACCUUCUUAUGGCAACCCUAACAAAGUAUUACAAAUAGAUAUAAAAUCUCUUCACACAUAUGAGAAAGGAAUAAGGGAAGCUCAACCAGGGAGUAAGUCACUAGUUGGCAGCUUGGGAUUCUUCUCUCUCUCUCUCUCUGGCUCCCAAGAAUGUUAUCCCUUUUAAGAUACCUAACCAUGCCAGGCAUGACGGCACAAACCUGUAAUCACAGCAACUUGGGGUUGGGGGUGGUGUUGCUGAGGCAAGAGGAUCACAAGUUCAAGGUCAGCUUCAACAACUUAGCAAAAACCCUGCUCAAAAAUAAAAAAGUGAAUAGGACUAGAAAUAUAGUUCAGUGAUAGAGUGUCUAUUGGUUUAAUUCCCAGUACUAAAAAAAAAAAAAUAAAAUAAACAAAAUAAAGUAAAAUAAAGGAUGCUCAACCAUGCCUCACAGUACCUCCUGAAUAUCUGCCAUAUUUAUGUGGUGCUUUAUACUUCUUGCCUUCUACCCAUCAUGGUGCUUCAUGGGGAGUCAUACAUGAGACCAAUUGGUACAUUAUUCUUAUACUCCUCAGACUUCAUUCUCAGCCUAACACAAUUAAUAAAAUAAAUUUUUGUGUCUUUGUUUUACACAAAAAUGUUUAAAAUUAUCUGAAUGGGUUUUCAUCAGAUUUAGGUGUUAAAUUUCAAAUUGUCUGAGUUAAAUGUAACUAAAUAGUGAAUGCAACCUGAGGAGUAUGCAGACAGACAUCUUUCGAUACCGUGAGAGAGAUAAGUAUGAAUGUCAGGUGACACACCACAUGUAUUAAGUAUCCAGGCAUACAUACACACACAAACAGUGAUUUAAAACAUUAGAAAAAAUAUGAGGAAAAAAAUCAUUUGACACACAUUCUGAAUGAUAAACAUUGACUUUUCUAUCAAUCUGCCUUUUAUAUAUGCAAAGGAAUCUGCUAAAAGUGAAUGAAUUUCCUGAGAAAUGGAUGAGCAGAUUGUUAUACUGUAUCUUGCUUAUCAAUACUUUAUGUAGUAUCAUAAACAUUAUAUUUUAUUUACAUUUUUGCAAAUAUUAUAAAAGUCCUCAUUUUCUGUAUUCUUUAAUAACCUGAUCUAUCUGUGCCAUAAUUUCUUCCUCAGAAAUAUGUGACCCUCUAUAUCUUGGAGGAUAAGUGGACAGCAUGUUGUUUUAUACUGAGAUUGUGACCACAGCAAAAGAUUAUGUACAGGGCUGGGGAUGUGGCUCAAGCGGUAGUGCACUCCCCUGGCAUGCGUGCGGCCCGGGUUCGAUCCUCAGCACCACAUACCAACAAAGAUGUUGUUGUGUCUGCCGAGAACUAAAAAAAAUAAAUAAAUAUUAAAAAAAUU
rnacentral:lncRNA from 1 species